UACAGAGGUCUCAAGCGUUGUUCGGAUUCAUUGGGCGUAAAGAGCGCGUAGGCGGCCCGGAAAGUGGGGUGUGAAAACCCGAGGCUCAACCUCGGGCGUGCACUCCAAACUCCCGGGCUUGAGGCAGGUAGGGGAGAUCGGAAUUCCUGGUGUAGCGGUGAAAUGCGCAGAUAUCAGGAGGAACACCGGUGGCGAAGGCGGAUCUCUGGGCCUGUUCUGACGCUGAGGCGCGAAAGCUAGGGGAGCAAACAGG
rnacentral:rRNA from 1 species